rnacentral:rRNA from 1 species
UACGGGGGGGGCAAGCGUUGUUCGGAAUUACUGGGCGUAAAGGGCUCGUAGGCGGCCAACUAAGUCAGACGUGAAACCCCUCGGCUUAACCGGGGAACUGCGUCUGAUACUGGAUGGCUUGAGUUUGGGAGAGGGAUGCGGAAUUCCAGGUGUAGCGGUGAAAUGCGUAGAUAUCUGGAGGAACACCGGUGGCGAAGGCAGCAUCCUGGACCAACACUGACGCUGAGUGAGCGAAAGCCAGGGGAGCAAACGGG